GUCGAUGGAGGGACUAGAGACUGUCCAAGGAGGAAGGGACCACCAAUGGAAAGCUGAAAAUGAGUAUUAAUGUUAGUGAGCAUGGUGCCACCUUGGCCAGGGGCGUGGAUUCCAUUCAGCAUCUCCAAGAUCUGCAGCCUCCAUCUAUGGAGGCUUUCUGGAGGCAGUCACCUGCGUUGUGCCCUGGCUGUCCUGAAAUUCUCUCUGUUGACCAGGCUGACCUUGAACUUGGAGGAUCACCUGCCUCUGCUUCUGCCUCCUGAGUCCUGGGAUUAAAGAGGAGCGGAGAUGGCAGCGGGCGGAACGAAGGGAGGAUUGGAGGAGUCUGCGCAGAGCGAUCAAGUUGGGAGUCCUGAGCGACAGGCCCUCCAGAGGACAGCACAGCGAGCG
rnacentral:lncRNA from 1 species